rnacentral:rRNA from 1 species
UUGGACCUAUAUCAAUAAAGUACCCC